UGAUAGCCUCAGUAUGAC
rnacentral:misc_RNA from 1 species